UACGUAGGGGGCAAGCGUUGUCCGGAUUUAUUGGGCGUAAAGAGCGUGUAGGCGGCCAGGUAGGUCAGCUGUGAAAACUCGAGGCUUAACCUCGAGACGCCGGCUGAAACCCUCUGGCUAGAGUCCGGAAGAGGAGAGCGGAAUUCCUGGUGUAGCGGUGAAAUGCGCAGAUAUCAGGAAGAACACCAGUGGCGAAGGCGGCUCUCUGGGACGGUACUGACGCUGAGACGCGAAAGCGUGGGGAGCGAACAGG
rnacentral:rRNA from 1 species